UUUGGGAUCUAUGGAGAGAAGGCAGGGCCCUGGAACUAGUGGAUACAUUGAUGGGCGACUCGUAUCCUGAAGAUCAAGUCUUAAGGUGCAUCCAAAUUGGUCUUUUAUGUGUGCAAGAAUCUGCGAUGGACCGACCAUCAAUGUCUGAUGUUGUUUUCAUGUUGAGUAAUGACACAACUCUUCCAUCGCCCAAGCAACCUGCGUUUAUUAUGAAGGAGAGUUACUAUAGUGGAGAUCCAUUAACAAGUGAAGGAUCACAUUCUAUAAAUGAAGUGACAAUCACCAUGCUUGGACCUCGGUAGAGGCUUACAUAUAUCUGACGUUCUACUUUUAUUUGUUAAUAUUAAUGUGUAUUGAUAUUAUGAUAGCUUUUACGAUAAUAUUUUAAAAAUUAGGUUUAAAGUGGAAAUAAAAAAAUAUUAAUUAUAAUGUAUGUUAAUUAACUAAAUAUUUGUACAACUUUAAUAAAAAUAAAAUACAAAUUUAAUCACACCAUAUUGUUAUACCAAGUGGAUCCUAGUAGAAGUAGCAUGGUAGUGAAAUAUUAUUUAUUACAUUUCUAAGCUCUAAGCAUGUGGAACCAAGUAGUGUAGUUAUUCUUUAAUUAACCGACAAUGUAGAUAAAGAUGUCUCAAUAGUCUCCCAAUUUAAAUCAUCUUCAUCAAGAAAGCUAAGUUCUUCACAAAUCUACUCAUUUAAUAAUUCAAUGUUAUGAAGGCUAAUGCGAUCUAAAAUAUAUUUUUUUUUUUGUUUAAAUUCCUACAAAGUACAAACAUAAAAAAAAACAAUAUGAUUGUUAUCAAUAUAUUAGUGAUAAAUUCAAUUUUUGAAAAUAGUAUAUUUACAUAGUUAUAAAAGGUUUAGACAAGACCUAUUUGCAAUACUAAGUCAAUAAUCAUGCCAAUUGUAAUAUAUUCUUGCACUGCAUGAAGAACAAAAACAUUCAUUUUCCAUGGAGGGACAAGAUGAGGUAAGGAGAUUAGAUAAUAGGUACAAAAUAACUUAUGAAAAUUAUAAAGUUGUUAUAAUAAUGAGAAACUUAUUGCAUUAAAGCAUUAUUCCUAAAUAUCUUAGUCGAUAUUCUAUUAAGACUUGAUAUUAGUUAGAGUUAUUGAGACCAAUGUAUCUUAUGUUCCUUCCUUUAUGAAAGGAAGAAGUUGCUCUUAUAAACUGAGGUAUGAGAGAUGUCUAUAACUAAUAUAUAGGUGCUUGUAAUAUGACAUAUACAUUGAACUGACUUGUAAGAGAAUUUUAUAUAGGGAGAUUACUUAUGUCUAUAGAAAGGUUCACGUGAUAAUUUAUAUUAUAUAGAGAGUGUUAUGUUUUGAUCCUGACCACAUAUUAUCCUAAUCAAAGAUAACAAAUAGGCAAAUAUUAGGUAUGACAUAUAGUACUAAAUGAAGGUAUUUAAGUAAUAAAGAGAGGAUUCAUCACUCUAGGUGAAUUAAAAAAAAUAUUACGUAUGAUCUUAAAUAAUAUUGAUUGUGAAACCCUUGGCCAAGAUAGAAAGAGUUUUGAAAAAAAUUUCAGAAUUUUUCUCAAAAAAUUAAUGACUACAAUGUUGAGAACUAACAUGAUUUAACAAAGCAGAAUAGUUCAUGUUAUAAUGUCUAAAUCGAAAUAUUUAUGAUAAAUUAAUGAAUAAUAAUUACACUGGAAAACUACUCACUAAAAAGUUAAGUCGAAUUACUUAUAACUUUUUUUAACAUUUGAUGGAUCAUUAUAGGUUAUUAAACAUUAUACUUGAUCUUCAAAUAUAAAUCAAUCAGUUUUUAAAUUGAUAAUAAAUUAAAUUAUAUAAUUUAAUUACUCUUGUUUUAUUUUGGUCCGCACCUGCUGACCAGUGUGACAAUUAUGGGCGGUGUGGAGCUUAUGGUAAGUAUGAUCCCUAUGAUGCUUAUAACUUUGAGUGUACAUGCCUCCCUGGCUACCGGCCCAAAUCAAUUAGUGAUUGGUACCUCAGAGAUGGGUCAGGUGGAUGCAUCGAGAAGAAUCUCACAGGAAUGUGCAACAAUGGUGAAGGGUUCGUCAAGGUGGAAAACGUGAAGGUACCACAUCCUUCAACUGCCCGUGAGGAUAACAAUUUGGAUCUGAAAGCUUGCAUGUAGCAAUGCUUGAGGAAUUGUUCCUGCACAGCCUACGCAAGUUCAGUUGUGACAAGUAAGAGUGGGUGCUUCUCAUGGUAUGGCAAUUUGCUUGAUACAAGAGCGUUCGCUGAGGGAGGACAGGAUUUAUAUGUCCGUGUGGAUGCGUUUGAGUUAGGUACCUUCAAAUCUUAUUGUCAUUAUAUAUCUUUGCUGCAUUUUUCAACAACAGAUUAAUCUUCAAUACGUCUUAGAUAGAGGAUUUUCAGAACAAAAAAUAUAGACAUCUGAAAUAAAAAUUAUGGGUACAAGUACAACGGAAGUACCAGGGACAUUUCUAAUAUGGCUAAACCCUCCCCUGCACUCACCUUACUGAUAAUCCUGAUGAUUUGGUAUCAAGCUAAUGUGGAUUUCUUUCUUUCUCCAGCUCAAUAUGACAAGAAGUCUAGAGGUUUUCUUUCAAAGAAAGGGAUGUUAGCUGGUUUGGUACUCUCUAUAGCUGCUGGGGUUUUCUUUGUCAUUCUAUUCUCAUUCUGGUUGAUAAAAAGGAAGAAGACGGGUAAGAGAUUAUUUUUUCAACUUCGUUACCAAUAUAAGUGACACCAAAUUAGUUGAACUAAAGAAUUCCAACUUUUAGUCUAUGCAUACAGGAGAUGAUAGUCUGCAAAAUGCAGUGUGUAAUCAAAACUUCUUCGUUUUGGUAAGAAAAAAAAACAAAAAAAACAAAAGUCAACGGGUUUGUGGCCGGGUCGGCCGGGUCACACCGGGUUUUUUUUUUUUUUUUUUUUUUCAACCCGGCCCGGUUCUAACCCUGAGUCGGCCGGGUCCCGGAUCGACCAGCCGGGCCGAACCGGGUUUCAAAACACUGCUUGUUAGUACUUUUAAAAGCUGAUUAUUGAGUUCUUUCAACGAUAAACACAGCUAAGGGCAGACAACUCAAAUUUCCCUUCAAUAUCCCUACAAGCCUCAAUGGCUGUCUACGUGGAAAGGAAGUUGGUGGAAGUAAUUUUAAAAUUUUAAAAUUUAAAUUUAAAAUUAUUUUGAUGAUUUUUUUUCCACUGAAAAUUAGUAGAGAAGGAGCAAAAGUACAUUAUAGUUCCUGUUUUUCUUAUAAAUUGACAAAUCAUUUCUUUAACCGAAAUUAAUCUUUAAUUUUUUAAGAUCUAUUUUUUAACCUUUUUGAAAAUUAAAUUAAAAGCAAAUAGAAAACAAAUUAAGUUAUAUGACAAUAUAAUAGAACUUAAAGAAUUUCUUCGCAAAAUUUGAGAUUGAAAGUUAUAUUAAUUUUAGUCAUAUAAAUCAUUUGGCAUGACUAGACCUGUUUUAGGCUCGCACAAGUCCUUAUAGUCCAUAAAUAUUAUGCUAGGCUUUUCACAUGGUGUAAUUUCAACAAAUUCCCAUCUAGUAUUCAGAACAUCAUGCAUCAGAGAGUUUCAGUGCAAGCUCUAGACUAGACCGCUGAUCUCUCAAUGAUCAAGAAGCUUCAUUCUCCGUUGAAUCUCAAUCUCUUAGAUAUUAUCCAUUUAACUUUCAUUUAAAAAUAUUUGCCUUAAAAUGGUGGAUCGAAGAAAUUAAUUGGAAUUAGAUCCAAUUUGAGCCAAGAAAUUAAGGCGCUUACUAGUCAAUUGAAAAGGACAAUACAAAAUAAAAAUCCCGACGCUAAAAGAGGUGGUUACUAAUUCCCCAAAGAAUAAGCUACCUUGAUGUAUUAACCUGAUCACUAGCCAUCACCAUGCAUCCCCAAAGAAUUUUUUUUUAAAAUGAAACGAUGUUUUUACAAGUUGUUUGAGUUGCUUUUAAAUACACAUAGUUGACUAGAUUAUAUUGAGGCAACUUCUACAUAAUUUAAUUUGAAACCCUAGCUAAAAAAAAACAGUCAAAUAGAAAGGUUUCAUUGUUGACUCACUAAACUGGAUUUAAUAAUAUUAUCAGUAUAUAUUUUUUACAUUAAAAAAAUUUGAUCCAAUCAAGCUCAACUCAACAUUCCUAGUUAUUAAAAUGAAUCUCUUCAUCAUUUAAAGUCAAAGUAGACAAAAAUACCUCAAUAAUCUUUUAAGUUAUGACAAUAUAAUAGAACUUAAAGAAUUUCUUCGCAAAAUUUGAGAUUGAAAGUUAUAUUAAUUUUAGUCAUAUAAAUCAUUUGGCAUGACUAGACCUGUUUUAGGCUCGCACAAGUCCUUAUAGUCCAUAAAUAUUGUCGCACCCCCAAAAAAACUAUUUCUAUCGCGGGUUCGACUGGCGAAUUUUUUUAUUUAUUUUUGGUUUGAUUUGGUUCUUUGGAGUCGCCACCUAGUAUUUUGGUCACUAGGAACCCUAACUGGUCUCAGAGAUCGGGUACGGAGACUGGUUGCGUAACGGGAAGGUAUUAGCACCCCAAAUACACCUUACCUAAGGUAAGCUGCAUUGUUUUAUUGUAUGAUAAAAAAACUAAGGUGUUAUUGUGUUUUCAUAGUUGUUGGUCUGUCUAUGGUUCAAGAAAAAUCCUCCUCGGUAAGGAGAUCUUUAUCUUAUCGGGUAAAAAUCCUAAACGUUCUAACGUCCAUACCAAAAUUUUAUUAAUAAUAUUUAGGAAUACAUUUUACGUAUAAAUUCGUAAUCCCAAAUACUAAAAGAAAACAAAAAGAUUUUUUAGAAUUUUUGAAAUAUUGGCCUAGUUCUCAUGGCUUGAAUAAACUGGUUAUUAAAGCCAAAAUGCAUGUUAAUACAUAUAUUGUUUUGAAAAUUUUCUUUGUUGUGUGAAAAUAUGAUGUUAUAAUAUUUAUAUAUAUAUAUUGGAGAGACUAGGCCGUAUUUUAAAACAAAAACAAUUUUUGGAAAAUAUUUUUUUUUUGCUUUGACGAAAAUCGGGUAUUUUAAUACUGAGCUUGUAUCCUUACGGUAUAAAAAUACAACCCAAUAUUAAUCCACUUUGAUAAAAAUAUGCAGAAAAAUCAACAACAUUUUUAGGGACUUUUUAGAAUUUUUUGAAAGCAAAAACAUUUUUUAUUCUGAAAAUCUUUGAUAUUUUGACGAAAACCGGGUAUUUUUAACACUGGUUUUGUAUCUUUACGGUAUAAAAAUACAAACCAACAUUAACCACUUUUGACAAAAAUAUGCAGAAAUCAACAAUAUUUUUUAAGAUUUUUCAAAAUUUUUUUUUAAUUAUUAUAUUUUUUUAUUAUAUAAUUAUACACACAUAUAUUAUAACAUAUUAUAUAAUAUAUAAUAUAAAAACAAUUCGGGCUGGGCCGGCCCAAAUAAACAGGCCGGACUCAGCCCACAAAGAAAGGUUGGGCCGAACUCGGCCCAGACUGGGUUGGGCCGAUCUCGGCCCAACAGGCCAUCAUGCUUCUUCUGGUCUGGGCCGGACCCGGCCCAGACCUAUAGACUGGGCUAGAACCGGUCUGGCCCAGGAGAGAAAAAAAAUGAAACGGGGAGGGGAAUUAAUUUUCCCCUCCCGUCCUCCUGCAUGCAAUAGGAUUAUGCAUGCAGGAGGAAGACGUUGGCGAAAACAAAGCCAGGGGGGAGAGGACGUUACCUGGCGUGGAGGAGGCGGUGCUGCGGUGGCUCUGUGGUGGCGUGGCUGCGCGGGCGGCGCCGCUAGGGCUGUUGUGGGGAGAAAAGAUUUUCUUCCUCUUCCCCUCUUCUUCUUUUUUUUGUUUUCGGUCUUUCUCUCUUUUCCUUCUAUUCUCUUUGUUUUCUGUUUUCUUUUUUUUGUUUUCGGUUUUCUUUUUCUCUUUUCACUCUCUCCUGUUUGUUCUCUCUCUCUUCGGGCUCCUCUCUCUCUCCUCCCUUUUUUUUUCGGUUUUCUUCUCUAUUUAUAGGGGCAGAACCGUGGGGGGCUAUUGUUAGUACGGUGCAACAGCCGGUCGGCCAAUGUCUAAAGGUGGUGGGGGCGAGGAGAGAGAGGCGGGAAGAUUUGAAGAAAAAAAAAACGAAAAUGGUUUUCUUCUUCUGCUGCUCUGCUUCGGGGGGAAGGAGGAAGAUGAACAGUGUCGUUCAAAAAUAAACUUUAUGCAAUUUAGCCACUCUUGUUGGCCGCCUUUUUCACUUUGGUCCUUGGCCUCUGAUUUAUGCAAUUUAGCUCUCAAUUGAUUAAUAAACUUUCAAUUUCUUCAAUUAGGCCCCUGAACCGAAAAAUUGCAGCCCCUCCAUUGGCCUGGUUUCGGAUUUUCUUAAUUAAAUCCCUAAUUGGCCCUUAAACUUCAAUAUUUAUGCAAUUAAGCCCCUGAUUUGACCCAAUAAAUUCCUAAAAAAUAUAUUUUGGCCCCAGAACUUAAAUUUCUUCUAAUUAAAGCCCAAAUUGACUUAAAAAUCAAUUUUUCUUGUAAUCAAACCUUCUAUAAAUUCAAAUAAAAAUCCAAUUAAGUCCAUAAACAUCCAAAUUUGGGCUUUUCUCCUCAAAAUUCAAAUUUUCUUUCUUAAUAGGGCUUUCAUCCUUUAAGAAAAUACUGUCAAAAAUUCAAUCCUUGUAUUUUUAAAUUCCUUGACCAAUUUUCUGACUGUUUUCUGAGCGCUUCUGCCUCCUGUUAUUUUUCUAACCUCUUUUGGCUUAUUUAUUUUAUUUUUUUUAUGGGGACCCAAAAAUGGGUUACAACAAAUAUUAUGCUAGGCUUUUCACAUGAUGUAAUUUCAACAAAUUCCCAUCUAGUAUUCAGAACCUCAUGCAUCAGAGAGUUUCAGUGCAAGCUCUAGACUAGACCGCUGAUCUCUCAAUGAUCAAGAAGCUUCAUUCUCCGUUGAAUCUCAAUCUCUUAGAUAUUAUCCAUUUAACUUUCAUUUAAAAAUAUUUUCCUUAAAAUGACGCUUACUAGUCAAUUGAAUUUUAUUUUUUUGUGAUACUGAACUUUUGAGCCAAGAAAUUCAGGCGCUCACUUAGUCAAUUGAAAAUGACAAUACAAAAUAAAAGUCCCGACUCUACUAGAGGUGGUUACUAAUUCCCCAAACAAUAAGCUGAUCACUAGCCAUCAACAUGCAUCCCUGUAAAAUAUUUCUCAUUUCAUUGCUUGAAUGCCUUCUUCUCCAAAUUUUCCUGUCCACAGACAAUGUUAAGUUUUAAUGAGUCUCCAGAGGAGGAAACUUCCCUUCGGGAUAAUCCUAUCAAUGAUACCUCUGGAGUGCUCAGAGUCAAUGGUCAAGAUAACCUCCUCCUCUACGGCAAAAACACCAAAUUAAUUAGUCCCGUCUGGUUCACACAUGCUUCAGUCUCAUCACCCAGCAACUCUAUGGCUCAACUUCUAAAUUCAGGAAACCUUGUUCUGACUCAUUCCAACAGGCAUCAGUCUCAUGGAAAAGUAUUGAUCAUCCUACCAAUACCAUGCUUCUUUUUGCAACACUUGGACGUUUGGUUAGGAAAACUGGUCAACAGGUUUUUAACAUCUUGGGAGUUCCUAAAUGAUUCAGGAACUAGUGAUUUUGCGAGUAUUUAUUUUCAUUAUCAUAUAAUUAAAUAAGAAAUAGUUUAAAAAACAAAGUUAUUAAAUUUAGUGGAGUUCAUGACUCGGUUCACGGGUUAAGCCUCGAAGCCCAACUCAAUUCAAUAUGUCGGUGUCUCAAAAAAUAUUUUAUAAAAUGUCAUCUUGAAAUUUGUUUUAAAGUCAAACCAUGUUUUUACAUGUUAUUUGAGUUGCUUUUGAAUACGUAAAGUCGAUUAGGACAUAUUGAGGCAACUUCCACACAAUUUAAUUUGAAACCCCAGCUAAAAAAAAAGUUGAAUUGAAAGGUUUCAUUGUUGACUCACUAAACUAGAUUUAAUAAUAUUGCUAGAAAUUUUCAUGAGGCUUGAAUAUAUUUUUUACAUUAAAAAAAUUUGAUCCAAGCAAGCUCAACUAAACAUUCCUAACUAUUAAAAUGAAUCUCUUCAUCAUUUAAAGUCAAAGUAGACAAAUAUGCCUCAAUAGUCUCCCAAUUUAAAUCCUUUUUAUCAAGAAAGCUAAGUUCUUCACAAAUCUACUCAUUCAAUAAUUCAAUAUUAUCAAGGCUAAUGAGAUAUAAAACAUCUUUUUUUUCUUCUUAAAUUCCUACAAAAUACAAACAUAAAAGAAAACAACAUGACUGUUAUAAUAUAUAUUAUUGAUAAAUUCAAUUUUUUUAAAUAAUAUAUUUACAAAGAAGGUAUAAAAGGUUUAGACAAGAUCUAUUUGCAAUACUAGGUCGGGAAUCCUGCCAUCAUAAUAUAUUCUUGUGCAAGAACCUGUUUGAAGACCAAAAAUAUUCAUUUUUCAUAGAGGGACAAGAUGAGAAUAAGAGAUUAGAUAGUAGGUACAAAAUGCUACUACGUGAAAAAUUAUAAAAUUAUUAUAAUUAUGAAAAACCUAUUGUAUCAAAAUAUUAUUUCUAAAUAUUAUUGGUCAAUGUUCUAUUAAGACUAGACAUUAAUUAUAGUUAUUGAGGCCAAUGCAUAUUAUAUUCUUUCAUUUAUGAAAUGAAAUAGUUGCUCUCAUAAACUGAUGUAUUAAGAUACCUAGAACUAAUAUGCAGGUGCUCGUCAAAUAACAUGUACACUGAACUAACUUGUAUGAGAUUUCUAUAUGGGGAGAUCACUUAUGUCUAUGGAAAAGCUCACAUGAUAAUUGUGUAAGUGAUUUUUAAAUUUGAGAUAACUAAUUUUUAUUAUAUAGAGAGUGUUAUGUUUUGAUCUUGACCAUAUUUUGUCCUAAUCAAGGAUAAUAAACAAGCAAAUAUUGGAUAUAACAUAAACUAUAUGAAAGUAUUUAAGUAAUAAAGAGAUGAUUCAUUACUCUAGGUGAAUUUGAAAAAUAUUACAUAUAUUCUUAAAUAGUAUUAAUUGUGAAACCAUUGGCCUAGGUGGAAUGAGUUUUGAAAAAAAUUUCAAAAUCUUACCCAAAGAAUUAAUGACUAUAAUGUUGAGAACUAACAUGAUUUAACAAAGUAAAAUAUCUCAUGUUACAAUGUCUAAAUCGAUACAUUCAUGAUAAAUGAAUAAUAAUUACAUUGAAAAACUGGUCAUUGAAAGGUUAAGUCAAACCACUUAUAAUUUUUUUAAUAUUUGGUGUAUUAUGAUAAAUUGUUAGACAUCAUACUUGAUCUUUAAAUAUAAGUCAAUCAAUUUUUGAAUUAAGAAUAAAUUAAAUUGUUUAAGUUAUUUAAUCUUAUUUUAUUUAGGAUUAUUAUUUAUAUUUUGGCCAACUUAUUAGGAAACCUAAUGGUUACACACAUAAAAAGUAUUAGUAAAAAAUUAAAAGGGGAUAAUUAAUCAAAUAUGACUUAAUUGUAAAUAAAUUUUAAAGAUAGAGGACCAGAAUGUAAUUGAUAUAAGGGAUUACAAUUCUAGACCUAUAAACAAUCAAGUAAGGAAUUAAUUUAAUAAAUUUCUAAAACUAACCGAAAAUAAUAUAUGUGAUAUUAUUUAAAGGACAAAUUUAUAUUUUGCCAUUUAUAGUGUUUUCAGGUUUCCAUAUAAUAAGAAAGUUAUGUCUCUUAUUUUUUAUGAGUAGAGUGGAGUACAAAAAUAUUCAAAUACAAAAAUAAAAGAGUUAACACUCAAACGUAUAGGAAUCUCUCUCUUAAAAUGGUUUAGAAUAUUUCUCACUCGUGGUUCGUGUGGAAUAAUGUUACAAACCAGACAAUUGGACGGCUUGUGAUUUGUGAUUUUAAGAAAUUUUUCAAAAUAAAAGAAUAUUUGAUCUUUAAGUAAUCUUCGUAUAAAACCUGAAAAACAUUAUAUUUAUCUAAUAAAAACUUUGGAACUAUUGAAAAAUCUUAAAUUUAUCAUUUACGCUGUGUGUAUGUGUUUUGGGAAACCCAACACAUUCACCAUUUACUUGUUGUCUUUGCAUGUCAUUGUGUCAUACAUAUUUGAAAUAGUUAUAGCAAGGAAUUGAAAACUAUUUAGGAAUGUAUAGAAGCCAACUAGGGUGCUAUAUGUGUCGGGAUUGUCUUACAUCGAUUUUUUUUUUCAAGAAUCAAUAACAUUUUCGUAUCUCACUAGUGAUUUAACAAACUAAAAAUUGACAAGAUUUUUCUUUUAAUACGCAAUCAGCUCACAAGAGUUGUGCAAACUUGGGACCAAAAAAAUUCUCACCAGAAAAAAGCAACUAGCAAGAUAGAUAUCUUUUUGUCAUAAAACCAAAAUUAACUUAUAUUUUCUCUUUUGCUUGAUCCAUUGCUUUAUAUAUUAAACUCAUAGCUGGUUUCUCAUCUGAAUCAACUAAUUUAAGAACUUUAAUUAGAGGAUAUGUUGCUUUAAUACAUAUAAUGACAUCAUGCUAGAACCUACUAUCCAAAACACAAUUUUGAAUUCGUUUCCCUUCUUCUAUUCUUGAAAACCUACAUGACCUUCACUAUUUAGAAGUAAACAUAGGCAUUAGCUGUAUUUUAUAAUCAUUCAAACAUCCUAGAAUCAAAUAUGCAGUAGCAAAUCAAGCAGCAGCAGCCCUAAUCAAACCCUAUCCUUUUGUAAAGUGCCUAGGAUGAAAAUAAGUAUAGUACUUGAAUAAAUAUAUGAGGUGACUCUCAUUCCCUUAGCAAUAGUUACUUGAUGAACCUCUAGCUUCUUCUUAAAAAUUUUCAAUGUCAAGUCAAUACAAGGAGCAGCACAUGGUGUCCAAAACAACUUCUUUAUUUUUUGCAUCAAUAAUUGUCUUGUUGCCUUAUAAUUUGCAGUGUUAUUGGUCAUUACUUACACAACAUUUUCCUCCCUAACCCUGUCCACAAUGGCAUCCAACAUCUUAAAUUCCUUAUCAGCAAUCUUGGACAUAUUAGAAGUAUCCAUCGAUGAUAUAAAAAAAAAAAUUUGUCCCUUUAGGAUUAUUAGCUAAAAUGUUACAAAUACAACAUCUUUUUCUUAUCUAUCUAUAUCUAUAGACAUUAUUCAACAACCUUUUUUUUCAUUAUAGCUUGUAGUCCUCAAGCAAGUUUAUUGUUUGAUCAACUUCUUGCUUCAAAUACUUCUCUCUAAUAUCAUGAUAAGAUGGAGGCUUCAAACCUGACCCAUGCUUUGUAACCAAUUCAAGUAACUUAAAAAACUCAUGGUUUUUUACACAAUUAAAUGGAAUUGCACUAGUGUAGAAAAAUCUUGCGACAUGCUUCUUCUUUAAUAUCCUUUUUCAGCAAUUGAUUCAAGGUUGUUUGUGUACUUCCACUCCCACUCCCACUAGCUAAUCUCUUUCAUUUGUCCUUGAAGCUAAUUUCUUUCAUUUCAUCAUCAUCAUCUUUUCCAAUAUAUCAACGAACCUUUCUUUUAUUUUCAAUUGCUUCUAGAUUUUUCACUAAAACACCCAAAUUCAUAUGCUUAACAUUUUAUGGUACUUGUUGGCAUAACUCAACAUCCUUACGAGUACAAGCUAAAUGAUGUUUUAAACGAAAAAUACCUCAACUGAUAAUUUUUUUAUAAUGCUCUUGCACUGAAUUUUUCUAGAAUUUUUAUCAAUAUCUAUUUCAUAUUGUCAUCCCACAUCAAACUUAUUACCGGAAGUAUUUUUUCUAGAUGUCAUAUGUUUAACAAUUCAAGAAUCAACUAAAAUCAGCUCUCUAAUCAAUCCAAACAUUAUAGAAUUCUAAUUAGAUUUUAGUUAAAAAAGGACCAUAAUACACGUGUUAAACAAAACAAUUUAUAUAAUCCAGAAGCAUGCAUAAGGAACUCACAAAACUAAAGCAAUAAAAUGAUAAGAUUAUAUAAUAGAUAAGAGCGCAUAUAAUCAAGAAGAAAGAAAGUAAAACAUGCAUCCAUACUGUGUUGUAAAAGUGCUGGUUUUGUUCAUUAGAAAGGCCAUAAAAUUACUUGAAAAUGAAAACAAUUGCUAAAUUCAAAAUUCAUGACUCCUUUGAUUUUGUUCUAUUUUAAUUUCUAUUAACCAAUGGCAGAUUGCAUAUUGUAGUGAUGGUUUGUUUAAAAUUUGGAACAUAGGAAAGACUUUAAGAAACAGAGGCUAGGAUGUUAGGUUUUUGAUUUUGUGGUGCAGUUACUGUAUUUUAUAUAUAUAACUGGGUUUAAAAUCGUGAUUUUACAUGAUUUCAAAGAUUUAAUAUGAUUUUAUCACUUUUUAAAUUUUAAAAUUGAUUUGAUAUAAUAAAUAUAUUGACUUAUAAAAUUAUAUAUAUUUUAUAAGUCAACUCGUAGUAUCGUUAUGGCCUUUCAAGUGGUCAUUUAAAUACACGGCUGGCUCGCCUGAGCAACCCUAAUAAUCGGUCAAGAAAAAUUCUAUGAAGCGUUAGUAGUUGGCUUUUUGGCUCCAAUCAUUAAAACCCCAACUGCACUACCAAGUCAUUUACUCACCCCACCAACACACAAUCAUUGAAACAAAUUAUGAAUCCUAUAGAAAGGUUUUUGAGUAUAUUGUUUGUCUUCCUUGUUUUUCCUUCUUGCUUAUCUAUUGACAUCAUAGCUCCAAACCAGUCAAUCAAAGAUGGAGAUGUUCUGGUCUCUAGUGGACAAAGCUAUGAACUCGGGUUCUUUAGCUCAGGCAUCAAUCCUACUCGUCGUUAUGUGGGAAUUUGGUACCGUAGUACUAAGGUUUCAGAACAAACUGUUGUAUGGGUGGCAAAUAGAGAUAAUCCUAUCAAUGGUACCUCCGGAGUCCUAGCUAUCAACAAACAAGGUAACCUUGUAAUUUAUGAAAAUAACCCAAGUAGUGUUCCUGUUUGGUCUUCAAAUGUUCCAGCCUCAAUAUCAAAUUGCACGGCUCAGCUUCUGGAUUCAGGAAACUUGGUCUUAGUUCAGCAGGAUAGCAAAGGGAUCUUGUGGCAGAGUUUUGAUCAUGGUACAGAUACUCUGCUUCCUGGUAUGAAGCUUGGGCUGGACCUGAAAAUCGGUUUGAACCGGUCUCUGUCAUCUUGGAAAUCCAAAGAUGACCUGGGAACCGGAACCAGUGUCCUUGGUAUUGAUCCAAGUGGGUUUCCCCAGUUGUUCGUAUACAAGAGUCAAACCCGAAGGUGGCGUAGCGGACCAUGGACUGGACUAAGAUGGAGCGGAGUACCCCAAAUGGCCUAUACCUCCAUGUUCGAUUUUACUUUCGUUAGCAGUAUUGAUGAGGUAUCUUUUUCCUAUAGUCUCAAGAAUCCCUCCUUAAUUUCAAGACUAGUGGUGAACGAAUCAGGAGUAGCGCAGCGGCUGAUAUGGAACGAUCGCGAUAAACAAUGGUUCGAAAUUUGGUCCUACCCAAAAGAAACAUGUGACACCUAUGGCCAAUGCGGUCCAAAUAGUAACUGUGACCCAUAUCAAUCAAAUAAUUUCAGGUGCAAAUGUCUACCCGGAUUCGAACCCAAGUCAACUCAAGAAUGGUACCUGAGAGACGGGUCAGGAGGUUGUGUCAGGAAACCUAACGUGUCCACCUGUCGCAGCGGAGAAGGGUUCAUCAAGUUAGCUCGAGUGAAGGUGCCGGAUACUUCAAUGGCGAGUGCGAACAUGAGUUUGAUAUUGAAAGAAUGUGAGCAAGAGUGCUUGAGCAAUUGUUCUUGUACAGCUUAUGCUAGUGCUGACGAAAGAGGGCUUGGAUGCUUGAGAUGGUAUGGUGAACUGUUGGACACAAGAACGUUUUCAGAUAUGGGGCAAGAGAUUUACAUCCGUGUGGAUAGAGCUGAAUUAGGUACAUGUCCAUGUCCAAUUCUACUGUCUAUGUUUUUUUAGUUUUAUUGAAUUAUCUUUAUGUGUGUGUAUAUUUUUAUUAUCAUUUGAUAAAAAAUAGUUAGUUUAAAAAAAUAAAGUUGUUGAAGUAAUUAGAUUUAUAAUUCAUGUUUCAAGAUUAAAUAUCUUCGAUUACAUCUAUAUUUUAAUUUUUUAAUUUAAUCUUUGAUUAAAUAUUAUUUAAUAUUUUUCUAAGUUUUGAAAUAAAAUAAUAAUAUUUUUUUAAUCUUAGUAUUUUUUUUUGUAACCCUAAAAAAGUCUCUUUUUUUUUAUCUUAUUCAAUUACUUUCAAAUACAUAUUUGUUUUUAUUAUCGUUUGAUAAAAUAAAAAAAUUAAUUUUAAAAAAUAAAAUUAUUAAACAUGGUCAAGUUCAUGGACUCUAAUAUAAGAUCAAUAUCUUUAUCUACUUCCAUGUUUUAAUUUUUCAGUUUAAUUUUUAAUUUUCACUAAUGAUUUGUUUAUUUUUUCUGUGUAUUAUGGUAAAUAAUUUUUAAUUUAUUUAAUUAAAUAUAUAUGUGCAUUAGUUUUUUAAUUUACAAUUAAAAAAUAAUAUCAUAAAUAUGUUUCAAACGUCUAUAUAUUCGUGGUUUUGCAUGUAAAAAAUAAUCUGACCAUGGCAAAGCAAGUCAAGUGGCUAGUUUCCCACUAAUUGUACUUGUCUUCAAGAUCCAAGCACUGCAUCGGCGACCAUGUUUAUCAUAAUUUCUUGUCUUGUAUAGUAUAGUCCAGUCUCAUCUACUCAGACAAACUUAAAAAUUAAAUUUAGUUUACUUAAGUCUCAAGCUCGUAUGAUCCUACGAAGGAGAUAGAAACAACAAAUUAUCAUAGUUAAUAAAGUUUUUGGGGCAAGCAAAUUAGGUGAUGAAAAUUAUUCAAUACUUGUAGUUUACUCUUUGUUUUUUAAUUUCUCACAUUUAUAUGGUAUUCAAUUAUAUGAAAAAAAUUAAAAAUAGAAUAGAGAGUAAUUAAAUAUAAAUUUAUAGUACUGAAUAAUUCCAAAUCAACAGCUUGAAAGAUUUAAUUUUCAACUCUUAUCACUAAACAUUUCUUAUAUUUUCAAUUUCAGCUAAAUAUGAAAAGUCAGGACCUCUUGCCAAUAAAGGAAUUAAAGCAAUCCUGAUAGUGUCUGUUGUUGUGACAUUGUUUCUGAUCAUCUUCCUUGUGUGUUGGUUUGUAAGGAAAAGGAGAAAAGGUAAGCAAAUUCACUUCAAAUGUUGCUCCUGAGCAAUAUAUUUUUCGUAACAUUAUUAAACUCAGGGUGUUGAGUCAGUAAAAAUGCAAUGUGAUGCUGAGCUAGAGUUUCAAUAUUUCUGAUAGUCUUGAGCUCAAAAAAAUAUACCUUGAGUUAUAAGUUUUACCAGCCAGAAAUAAGUUUGCAUGUUGAUGACAGCCAGGGACAGGAAAGGAAGAAACGAAUUUCCGCUAUCAUUAACUUCAAGGUCACAUUCCUCGAGAGAGUUACCAAUUAACGAAUUUGAGGAAGGUACAACAAGUUCAGAUUUACCACUUUUUGAUCUUAGUGUCAUAGCUGCGGCAACAAAUAAUUUCUCAGAUGCCAACAAGCUUGGAGAGGGUGGUUUUGGCUCAGUGUAUAAGGUAGCCUAGCCUGCCUUGAAGUCCCUCAAACACAUAGCAUCACUUCAGUUUACAUGUUGAACUAUGAGAUUGAUGAAUUUGGAUUGAGAUUUUCAGGGUCUGCUGCAUGAUGGAAAGGAAAUUGCGGUCAAAAGACUAGCAAAGUAUUCUGGACAAGGGAUUAAUGAGUUCAGAAAUGAAGUCGAGCUCAUUGCAAAACUUCAGCACAGGAAUCUUGUGAGGAUAUUAGGUUGUUGCAUCCAAGGAAGAGAGAAGAUGUUGAUCUAUGAAUACUUGCCAAACAAAAGUUUGGACUCUUUUAUUUUCAGUAUGUCAUCAUCGAUCAUUAUGUCAAAUUGUCCCUAUAUUGUGGAUUUUUCAGUUUUUCUCAUUCUAUAGAAGUUGAAAAAUGAUUACAAGCCUGCAUUGAUUUGAUGAGAUUUAUGCUUCUUUGGGUACAGAUGAACCAAGAAGGUCACAGUUAGAUUGGUCUACUCGCCACAACAUUAUUUGUGGGAUUGCUCGAGGAAUUUUGUAUCUUCAUCAGGACUCCAGAUUACGAAUCAUCCACAGAGAUCUUAAGGCAAGCAAUGUUCUACUAGAUGCCUCAAUGAACCCUAAAAUUUCAGAUUUCGGCAUGGCUAGAAUAUUUGGAGUAGACCAAAUUGAAGCCAACACAAACCGUGUUGUUGGAACGUAGUAAGUUUAUCCUUAUUUAAUGAGUUAUAUUGGAGAGUAAUGUAAGCUUAUUUUUAGAAUUUUAUUUAAUAAUUUAAGUUUUUGAGAUAAAAUAAUAUUUUGAGAUAAUAUCAUAAGUUUAAUUAUUUAUAUAAUUAAAUUAAUAAAAUUAAGAAUUUAUACAAGUUUCAAAUCAUGUCAGAAAAUAAUAUAAAAUUAUUUUUAAAAUCUCACAAUAAUUUUUAUUUAUAUUUUUCUGAACAGCUGAUUUUUUAAGCUCUUCUUUUCCUAUGUUAUUGCAGUGGUUAUAUGUCACCAGAAUAUGCAAUGCAAGGCCUAUUUUCAGUAAAAUCUGAUGUAUAUAGUUUCGGGGUUUUGCUAUUAGAGGUCAUCACUGGGAGAAAAAACAAUCAUUUUUAUAAUGAAAGUAAAUCUUCGAACUUGGUUGGAUAUGUAAGUGAUAAGAUCACAUGUACGUAUAUUCCCGAUUUUAAAAUUUCAACUGCAACUUAGCAUAUUAAUUAAUGGGGAAUUUCUUUAGGUUUGGGAUCUAUGGAGAGAAGGCAGGGCCCUGGAACUAGUUGAUACAUUGAUGGGCGACUCGUUUCAUGAAGAUCAAGUCUUAAGGUGCAUCCAAAUUGGUCUUUUAUGUGUGCAAGAAUCUGCGAUGGACCGACCAUCAAUGUCUAAUGUUGUUUUCAUGUUGAGUAAUGACACAACUCUUCCAUCUCCCAAGCAACCUGCGUUUAUUAUGAAGGAGAGUUACUAUAGUGGAGAUCCAUCAACAAGUGAAGGAUCGCAUUCUAUAAAUGGAGUGACUAUCACCAUGCCUGGACCUCGGUAGAGGCUUACAUAUAUC
rnacentral:lncRNA from 1 species